UGCAAGAAGAAAGAAGAAAAAGGAAAGAAAAGAGAAAGAACCAGCAACUUUGUUUCUAAGAUUUUAAAGCGAUAGGCAAGUCGGAGAAGCCGAGAUUUACUCUUUGGGGGAAAGUAAGAGCGCGCGAGCGGACCCAGCGUUUGGACGACCAGCCCGCCGGCUUGGAUGUUGGGACUGUGGAUUCCUCCAAUUAAUGAAAUGCAUUUGGUGUUAAUGAUUUUUUUUUUAUGAUUUUUUUUUUUACUUUUUGGGAGGGGGAGACGCUAGGAGGGUGCAUUAAGGGGAAAAAAAAAUCUGAAAAGCCUGCUGCUAAAGGAGCGAGGAGUGUAAACUAUUGUUGGACCCAGUUGGUUUUUACCUCAACAGCGCCACCUUUCGGCAAAGCGAUUCACCGUUGUAAGUUAAAGCCGCUCUCCCUUUGAAGACACAUCUUUUAUAAUUUUUAUUGGAGAGAACAACUCACAUCUGAUUUCGGCGAAACGAGGCUGCAAGGGGAGGGGAGAGUCAUCUUGAGAAGGAGGCAAAAUACAGAUAA